rnacentral:rRNA from 1 species
GACGAACGCUGGCGGCGCGCUUAACACAUGCAAGUCGAACGGUAAGGCCCUUCGGGGUACACGAGUGGCGAACGGGUGAGUAACACGUGGGUGAUCUGCCCUGCACUUCGGGAUAAGCCUGGGAAACUGGGUCUAAUACCGGAUAGGACCACUGCCUGCAUGGGUGGUGGUGGAAAGCUUUUGCGGUGUGGGAUGGGCCCGCGGCCUAUCAGCUUGUUGGUGGGGUGAUGGCCUACCAGGGCGACGACGGGUAGCCGGCCUGAGAGGGUGACCGGCCACACUGGGACUGAGAUACGGACCAGACUCCUACGGGAGGCAGCAGUGGGGAAUAUUGCACAAUGGGCGCAAGCCUGAUGCAGCGACGCCGCGUGAGGGAUGACGGCCUUCGGGUUGUAAACCUCUUUCAGCACCGACGAAGCGCAAGUGACGGUAGGUGCAGAAGAAGGACUGGCCAACUACGUGCCAGCAGCCGCAGUAA